rnacentral:rRNA from 1 species
CCAGCUCCAAUAGCGUAUAUUAAAGUUGUUGCAGUUAAAAAGCUCGUAGUCGAAUUUCUGGGCAGUGGUAUUGUGGCUUCGGUCAUAAUACGCUUGUCCAUCCGUCAGGGAAGUUCGUUCGUCCUUUACUGGAUGACGGAGGGAACUGACAUUUUACUUUGAAAAAAUUAGAGUGUUUCAGGCAGGCAAUCGCUGGAAUACAUUAGCAUGGAAUAAUGGAAUAGGACUUUAGUCCAUUUUAUUGGUUAUUGGUCUGAAGUAAUGAUUAAUAGGGACAGUUGGGGGCAUUAGUAUUUAAUUGUCAGAGGUGAAAUUCUUGGAUUUAUUAAAGACUAACUAAUGCGAAAGCAUUUGCCAAGGAUGUUUUCA